UACGGGGGGAGCAAGCGUUGUUCGGAUUUACUGGGCGUAAAGGGCGCGUAGGCGGCCACCGCAAGUCGACUGUGAAAUCUCCGGGCUUAACCCGGAAAGGUCAGCCGAUACUGCGGGGCUAGAGUGCAGAGGGGGCAACUGGAAUUCUCGGUGUAGCGGUGAAAUGCGUAGAUAUCGAGAGGAACACCUGCGGCGAAGGCGGGUUGCUGGGCUGACACUGACGCUGAUGCGCGAAAGCUAGGGGAGCGAACGGG
rnacentral:rRNA from 1 species